CUCAUUACAUUAAGUCUUUCCUCUUAGUUCAGCUCCAAACCCAGAAUCUUCCCACUAUAAGAAACCAGCCAUCCUUGUUUUCACCUUCCUGCUGCAGCAGUCAGGGAUCUAAUUUUGGUUGCUCCUGUUUCAAUCUUUAUUCUCCUCUCGAUGUAUUGCAGGCUGUGCUCUGUGAUAUCAGAGUUUGCAGCCAGGGUGUGGUACAGAUCUCUCUCCAACUAUCUCAGAUGCCUCACCAAAAAGCUGCUAAGCCUCCCUGGCCAGCAGCCUGCUGUCUGCAGGCUUUAUAGCUCUGCUUCAAACCCUGCCAGUGACACCAACACUUGGAAAUCCUCAUUAGUUUGUGGCCCUGAUGCCUCCAGAGAUGCUGAGUGAGGUGGCUGAGCUCUGAACAAGGCUUCAUGGAGAGUGCCUUGCUGCAAGGAUACAGGAAAAGUGAGGGCUUGUUUUGCAAACAGAGCACUUGUGGGAAUGCAGCAGGAUGGGAGCAGCAUCCCCUGCCACUCCCUGAGGGUCAGCAGCAUGUCCUGGCAGAAGGGAAUUGUCUAAGCCCAGUGUGUAGCGUUGCAGAGCUGGGAAAGGUGAGAGGACAACAUCCUCCUUGUGCAGCAGGAAGGAGAGACGAAGUGGCCAACAGACACCGGGCUGGGCUGUCACAUCAGGGGUAACUGGCACGUGAUGCUAAUAAAGUGAUUUUCACACCAUAAAAUACCCUGCUGCAAAUACAUCUUACAAGCACUGCUGGCUCUUGGGUUUGGCAGCCAUUUGUCCUUCUGUCUUGCCCUGAAAACACAAGAAUUUCCCACACAGACUCACUCUCUCAGAGGUGAAACUUGUCUUUUUCACAGACUUUUUCAGGAGCUGCAUGGCUGACUGGCACCCAAAGUGGUCCAGCUGCUGGUGCCA